GCCCGGCUAGCUCAAUCGGUAGAGCGUGAGACUCUUAGCUUUCACGUCCUAACAAGACUCGAUUGGUUAUCUCAAGGUUGUGGGUUCGACCCCCACGUCGGGCU
rfam:Alternaria alternata strain SRC1lrK2f unplaced genomic scaffold CC77scaffold_6, whole genome shotgun sequence.